CAACAGAGCGAGACCUUGUUUCAAAAAAAAAAAAAAAAAAAAAAAGGAAUUAUUUCAAUGGAUCUUGCAGUAUUGACUGGAUAGAAUUUCCGUCUGAUCUAUGACACCAAGGGUCGCUUUGCUGUACAUCGUAUUACACCUGAGGAGGCCAAGUACAAGUUUGUGCAAACUGAGAAAAAUCUUUGUGGGCACAAAAGGAAUCCUUCAAAUAUAUAUAUAUGUGUGUGUGUGUGUAUAUAUGUAUAUAU
rnacentral:lncRNA from 1 species